GGACGAGGUGGCCGAUCUCCUCGAAGGUGCCAUUGGAAUAUUUCCGGCUGUUGGCGAUGAUGGUCCUGGGAGCGAGGACAGGGAGAGCCAGGUGCCAAGCAUCCUGGGAGGGCACCAGCAGCAGGAGGUACCUACAGGGUUCGGAAGUUCUCCUUCCCCAGCAUCCUGUACUCCUGGCAGACUUUCUCCCGGACAUAAGCUCUCCCUGAAAGUGCAGGAGAAGGAGGAAUUGAUUUGGCGGUCCCUGGGGAGACGUUGGCACAGCCGGUAUGCGAGAAGCAUCCCUGGUAUCCAGGCUGCUGUUCCAGCUGUGCAGCCAGGGAAAGGGGCAGGGAGAAAACCCGCUCUGGAGCUGGGAGAGCUACAGGUAAAUCACAUGGUAGUUUUUGAGUAUGGAAUAUGUGGGCUUGGUUUUUCUGGCAGGGCUGGGAGCUCUGGGGCUGGGUCCACGGAGCAGCCAGCAUGAAGACAUUCCCAGCAAUGCUCUGAUCCCUAGAAAAAUGCGAUCGAUUUGUGCUACAGACUCUGUGGGGCCAGACUUUGGCACCAGCAGGGUAAACACUGAUAUCGGUGUUUCCUGGGAUUACAGUGUGGGGCAGGGUGACCUCCACAAAAUCCAGGGGUUUGGGCCAGGCCACUGAGGGUGACAUCACUCUGGUGGGAAGGGAGAGUUGCCAAAAAGGGGAAGCCAUGGGAGAGGCAGGUCUCUUUCCUGGCAGGAACGUCGGCUGUCGGUCCCAGCUUGUGGCAUUUCUGUUCACUUCCAGAAAGCGGUGUGGGAGAGAGGUAAAUUUUAGGUGUUUUUUGGCAGGUGGGUGAUUCCCUGUGGAGCUGGGAAGACAGCAAAGGGCGGCAGAGCAUCGUUUCCAUCAAGGGGGGAGCUUACAGAGGAAUGGUGUUUAUCGAGGGGGCAGGAAAUGCUGUUUUCCUUCAGAAGGAGGAGCCGAUCCCUGAAGCUCUGUCCUCUCCCCCUCCCACCUCCUCCAGCAUCACCCCCAAGGGGCAUCCUGGAUACCGAACCAUCCUCCCACCCCUCCCUUUCCUCUCUGGUCCUGCCCAGCGGUUUGGCUGCAGGCUGGGGAGAGGGGAGGCCACCGGAAACCACUGGAACUGAGGCCCCAGCCCCGUGCCCCUCAUCCCAGGGGCCAGCAAAGCCCCAGGAUCACGGCCUUACCUCGGUGUGCCGCCUGCGCGGUGGCCAAGAGGAGCAGCAGGGCCAGAGCUGCCCUCAUGUUGGAGCUGGCUCCCCUCCUCCUGCCGGGAUGCAGCACCGGGAAUCCCAUCCCGCUGUUUAUAUGGGGGCAGUGUCAGCAGCCGGGAGAAUGAUUAAUCCCAGAGGGCAAGCAUCCUUGGCCUGCCUCCUGGGGCCUGGGUGCCGGCGCUGCCGAAAUCCAACCAGUUUAAAUCAUUAACUUGGGAAAACAGGGAUGGGUGGCCAUGAAACCUCAGGAUCUGUGAAGGAUGCUGGGAGCAACGUGAGUGACAAGAGGAGAAAACACAUUCAGUGCACCCUGUGAGUGCAAAGCUCUGUGUACUCGGGACAAUAUCUGAUCCUGAGGAAGGAGCCACACUUUUUUGUGGAUGCCAGCACACCAAACCUGCUGGUGCUGCUGGGAAAUGCUGGCUGUUAUCCCGAGAAGCUCCAGCUGUCCACAUCAGGUUUCAGUCCUGCCACUGCUAGGUUGGGGUCUCUGGCCUUGCAACCCGAGCCCACAUUUCUGCUGGGAGUGUUUGUAGAGCUCUGUGGGGUCUCCCUACACUGCAGCUUUCCCUUUGUCCUUAGAAAAAUGAAAAUUCAACAUGUUAUCAUCUGUAGGGUCCAAAGACAAAUCUAGGAAGAGGAGAAGGUCCAGCUGAAGUGAUCUUCACUGGUCCUGCCUGGGGAAUAGAGGAGAGGGAAGCAAAUAUGGAGGGGAUGGAGAUCCAACUGCUGCAGUGAGACCCCUGGCCCCCAAAUCUGCUCAGCUUCCCCAUGCACCGUGCACUUCCCUUGAGAGCAGAUGUUCCCUCUCAGAGGGAUGAAGACAGAGGUGGUUUUUAUGGAAGAACUCAACUUUUUCUCCCAGUGGUCUGCACUGUGAGCUGCAGCUUGGAACCAGAUCCUGCCAAUGCAGGAGAUUAACAAUGCCCUGUUCUCGAUGUUUUAUGUAUGAAAGGUGAAAAUAAAUAAUUAGGAACUAA